rnacentral:tRNA from 1 species
CAUUAAGAAGCUAUAUAMGCAUUAACCUUUUAAGUUAAAGACUAGGAGUUUAAAUCUCCUCUUAAUGA